rnacentral:piRNA from 1 species
UGGUCUUAUUCACCGUAAUUU